GUAAUUUCUUACCUAUAUGGGUGAAGGGUAUGUAGAAAUCAUGUAUGUAGAAAUCAUGUAUGUAGAAAUCAUGUAUGUAGAAAUCAUGUAUGUAGAAAUCAUGUAUGUAGAAAUCAUGUAUGUAGAAGACAUUUAAUGAAUUCCUGGAAUAUGUAAUACUAAAAUAGAUUUAUUUCAAAGAUAUAGCAAAGAAACACUAAAUUGUGCAUAAAAUAACAGGGAAUGAAUAUGGGUCAUUUUUGACCCAUGUUGGGCAUUGUCACAGGGUGCGGGAGUAAGGAACCAGGCGCAGGCGGAAUGUGGUCGGUUUUUACUUUUAAUAAACAAAAUCACGCACGACCAAACAACAAAAGUAAAGGGCUGACUUAAGCAGCAAAACGACUGUACAAAAUGGUUCUAAAGAAACGAACAUUUAGCGGCAACACACACGACGACAGCAAACACAACAAUGAUCUACGAAUGUGGGGAGCAGAGGGGAAACAUUAAAACACUUACAAAUGAUGUGAUAGGGACCUGGUGUGCAUGAUUAAAGACAUGUAACACAAAACAAGUCUGGGAUGUGUUCAUGAGUGACGGGAACUGAGAGUGCAUGGAACGGUGGCGCUGCUGCUCACCGUACCUUGACAGUACCCCCCCACACAAACCCUGGCCCAAGGGAGGGGGGGCGGGGCAACACAGGACCCCCACCGGCACAAACCCGCUGAGGGGGCGGAACAGCCGAGACUAACCAGGGCGGCGGGGCGGCUGCGACAGGAGAGGGCCCCGGGGCCGCAGGGACCGGUGGAGGGUCAGGAGGCGGCGGAAGGUCAGGAGCCGGGAGAGCCGCGGAGGGUCGAGAGCCGGCGGAGGGCCAGGAGCCGGCGGAGGGACAGAAGUGGGGAGAGCCGGCGGAGGGUCAGGAGCCGGUGGAGGGCCAGAAGUUGGGAGAGCCGGCGGAGGGUCAGGAGUGGGAAGAGCCGACAGAGGGUCAGGAUCAGGCUGGAGGAGGUGAAGUUGUCUAACCUGACAGACUGGGGUAUGUUGUUUAGGAUGUCCAAAGUCGGUUGCAGAGAGAGUGGCUGAUCCCCAGGUCAUGGAGUUUGUUGCACCAGCCUAGAGGUGACCAUGUUGAAUGCUAAGCUAAAGUCUAUGAAUAGCAUUCUCAGAUAGGUGAACCCACAUCAGCAUUUGUGGGUUUGAUUACAGGCUCAAAAAGGCCAGAAACAAAUAAUGUUCUUCUGAAAGUCAUCAGUCAAUUAUUGUUCUGAGAAAUUAAGGCUACUCCAUGUGAGAAAUUAACAAGAAACUGAAGAUUUCAUAACGUUGUGUGCUACUCCCUUCACAGAUAUGCACAAACUGUCUCUAACCAGAAUAUAAAUAGGACUGGGAGGCCGUAGUACAACUGAGCAGGAAGACAAAUGCAUGACUGUCUUGUUUGAGAAACAGACACAGCACAGGUCCCCAACUGGCAGCUUCCUCAAAUAGUACCCGAAAAACACCAGUCUCAACAUCAACAGUGAAGAGGCGACUCCGGGGUUGCUGUUUUAAGAUAACUUGAAUUUGCUGUUCUGAAGUUUCUACCUCCGUGCAGGGCGCUCGUCUAUCCGUUGUACCACAGGUAUGACAUCACAUUACUUUCUUCAGUUAACUGGUGAAACACUGAAUUAAGAGUACAGCACUCUGUUGCAAGCUGUACUUACAACACUGUUAAGUGCUUCAAAGCUUAAAUUACAAAACACCGGCAUAACGCUACUUAAUUUUUAACAGACUUCUGGGGGCUUCUUCAACUGAAGAAGCC
ensembl:lncRNA